rnacentral:tRNA from 1 species
UUCCCUGUAGCUCAGUUGGUAGAGCAUGGUGUUUGCAACGCCAGGGUUGUGGGUUCGAUUCCCACGGGGGGAC